rnacentral:lncRNA from 1 species
AUGGCCUGGCCAGAGCCGGGAAGAGGCAAGCAAAACCCCCCCUUUCGGAGACGUGGACACCGACACUGCGGCGCACAGACGCCCAACGUCAGGACAGAGGUGGGAAGGGGAGCUGGGGGUCAGGGCCCACGACAGGAAGUGGAUCAGGGGUCAGGGCCCACGACAGAAGUGGAUCAGGGGUCAGGGCCCACGACAGGAAGUGGAUCAGGGGUCAGGGCCCACGACAGAAGUGGAUCAGGGGUCAGGGCCCACGACAGGAAGUGGAUCAGGGGUCAGGGCCCACGACAGAAGUGGAUCAGGGGUCAGGGCCCACGGACACGAAGCCCACGGACACGAAGCGGAUCAGGGGUCAGGACUCACAGACAGGAAGUGGAUCGGGGUCAGGGCCCAUGGACACAAAGCGGAUCAGGGGUCAGGACCCACAGACAGGAAGUGGAUCAGGGGUCAGGGCCCAUGGACAGGAAGUGGAUCAGGGGUCAGGGCCCACGACAGGAAGUGGAUCAGGGGUCAGGGCCCACGACAGGAAGUGGAUCAGGGGUCAGGGCCCACGACACGAAGCGGAUCAGGGGUCAGGGCCCACGGACACUAAGCGGAUCGGAGGUCAAGGCCCACGGACACGAAGCGGAUCAGGGGUCAGGGCCCACGGACACUAAGCGGAUCGGGGGUCAAGGCCCACGGACACGAAGCGGAUCGGGGGUCAGGGCCCAUGGACACGAAGCGGAUCGGGGGUCAGGGCCCACGGACACGAAGCGGAUCAGGGGUCAGGGCCCAUGGACACGACGCGGAUCAGGGGUCAGGGCCCACGGACACGAAGCGGAUCAGGGGUCAGGGCCCAUGGACACUAAGCGGAUCGGGGGUCAGGGCCCAUGGACACGAAGCGGAGCAGGAGUUGGGCCAGGGGCUUCCAACGGGCUCUCCUGGAGUGGUCUCCCCUCGCCUCGCGCCCUCAGCACCCAACUUCUCACUGGGUGGGCCUUUCCCCCACUCGGGGCUCAGCUGGGUCUGUGGCCUGAUUGA